AAAGAGGGAGUUCUUAAAAAACUUUUCCUAGCCUAAAAUACCCUUCAUCUAUUGUAAAUAUAACAACUUUAUCCCUUUUUAUUAUUGUUAAACAGAGUUCAGAAAAUUGGGAGCCCUAAUCCUUCGUUCCUUUCAUCCUCUUCUCCGUCGGUUAUGAAAUCCUUCGUUCCUUUCAUCCUCCUCUCUGUCGGUUACGACUUCACUCUAGCAAUGCCCUCCCACUUUCUUAAAUCAUUAAUUGCCAACGAUGAGUAUUAUUGCCCUCAUCAUCUCCGCACCUCCCCUGCCAUCAUCUCCCCAGUUCUUAGAUUUUGGGCAUUUGUUCGGAUCAAGAAGGAAAAUUAUCGAAGAAGGCUUGGUGACUAUGGAGGCAUGAUGAUGAGAGUGAUAUCGAGAGUAGAGGAAAUGAUGGUGCAGUGCUCUGUGGAACCAGUAGUAGAGGAACUCGACUGGACCCAUAUGAAGCAAAGCCAUCAUUACUGCUCCAUCAGACCUCCAAAAAGGUUGAAUGAGUUUGUUUGGAUCUACAACAUUGCACACUUUGAAGCUUUCUGCAAACUAUCAGGUAUAUAUCUUGGGUUAUUUGAUAGCGAAAUUGAAGCUGCAACAUCUUAUCGAACACUGAUUUUCUACAUCGCUUAUGACAGGAUAGCAAUCAAAAUUAAUGGAAGUGAAGCUGUUACCAAUUUUGACACAACUACUUAUGAUGGUGAAAUACUUCCUCAAACCAAUAAUAGUGGUAUUACUGGUUCAUAUAUCUUACUCCUAUCAUAAAUAAGAAUAUUACUCCUAUCAUCAUUACUUUGAGCAUAAAUAUAUAUUGGCUAUAUUGCUUAGAAAAAAUAAUAGUGGUAUUAGUGGUAUUGCUUAGGGAAAAAAAAUUCUUUCUCUGGUCUGUUCAUUAUCAUAAAUAAGAAUAUUACUCCUAUCAUCGUUAUUUUGAGCAUAAAUAUAUAUUGGCUAUAUUGUGACUGCCCAUGCUUUUGGUGGCUAAUUUUUAGCCUUAUAAAUUUUCCAGGCACAAAUAGCACUGAAUAAUGUGGAUGCUGCGAUACAAAGUUUCAAAAAACCACUAGAAUUAGAGCCAAAUGAUGGAAAAAUAAAGGAGGAACUUCUUGUUGUGAACAAGAAGAGCGAUUGAAAGAAGCUAAAAUCAAAACAUGGAAAAGUUCAACUUGGCAACAUCACUGUGGAUAUGGUGCUCAUCUUAACAAAUUAUGGAUAUGUCAAUUUUAUGUUUCCCAUGUGGCUAUGUGGGCAACACACCUAUUACUAGCACAUAGCCGAUAGUGUGCGGAUAACGUUAAUUGAUCUCAAAUCUUUGAAUUUUGAUAGGUUAUAGGUGGAAUGAGAGGAAUGACUGGAUUAUUGUGAGAAACAUUAUUACUUGAUCCUGAUGACGUGAGUUUGGUUGUAAUAUAUGCUAUGUAUUGAAGACAAGUGCAUUUUUUUUAAAAAUAUUGCAAAAAAAUAAAAAUUUGAUACAACAUCAAUAGA